GCAGUGUUCAAGUGGGUUUCUUUUGACAAUGAAGCACUGGAAUACAGCCAUAUAGUUUUAACCUAGAAGAAGACCUAUAAACAGGAGUAGGCAAGAAGGAGUCAGCCGAGGAUGGCUAAAGUAAUGUCUAGUUGGUCAGAAAAGUAUAAGUUACUAAACAGACUGGUCCAAGGACCUCCAGAGCCUUCUGACCAACUACCUGUGAUCUCUCCAGCGCACAGAGAAGUGAGUCUGCUGAGCUAUGGAACUCUAGAGCAGCACACCAAAAGAACUGCCACCCUGUUGCCAGCUAUCUGCAGACUUUCAAUGGCCACAUUUUGUGGAUGACCAAACGCAAUAAAGUGUUGUAACUUCUGUGAUAACUUAACCAUCAAGACAAAUACACUUAGAGCUUAUUUUUUAAAAGUUAUGAAAAAAAUGCAAGACUAAUGUCCAGAGUGAAUGCAUUUGUAUUAUUGUACAUCUUACAGGUGUCUCAACUAAAAUAUAUAUCCCAGACAAGAAUAAAGAAUGGGACAAAGUUGGUGCUUGUGUACAUAGCAGUUUGUACAUGUUCACAAAAUGGAUCCAAGACAAAAAGAUUGUUACUGUACACCCAGGUAAGGCCCUUGCUUCUUGAACCACUGAAGACCCCAGUAUUCACUCAGGAAGCUUGAAGAAGAUGUGUGUCACCAUC